CUCUGGGGCUGUGCUUUCUUGCUCAUCCCACCCCUGGCUCUCUUCUUCUCAGGUGGCAGUGCCAAGGGGACGGAGAAUCCCUUCGAGUAUGACUAUGAAACCGUCCGCAAAGGAGGCCUGAUCUUCGCGGGCCUUGCCUUCGUCGUGGGACUCCUCAUUCUCCUCAGCAAAAGAUUCCGCUGUGGGGGCAGUAAGAAGCAUAGGCAGGUCAAUGAAGAUGAGCUGUGACGGAAGAGCCGGCAGUGCCACCGGUGCAUGGGCACCAGUGAUGCCCACCUUCCCCAGCCAGGCACCACGGACCCCACCAUGGUCAGCACUGGCUGAAGGAAGUGCCAGGCUUACUGGGACCCCCUCAUGGUCAUCCCUCAUGCCUCUAGAUCGUUAACUUCCUCUCUCCCCUCCCCAAC
rnacentral:lncRNA from 1 species